CUGUUCACGAGCCGACAGUUUGUCAAAGAAGAAGAAACCACAUCCUCCCAAGCUCAGCAGGCGCGGAGAACAAAAUAUUUCUGGGGCGUUGGAGUUAUUUUCAGAUUUAUGAUGGGGACCUCAGGGAAAAGUGAGGAAAUAAUCAUCCUCAGUGAUGACGAAGAUGAUAAAGACACUUCCUGCCUCAUUGUGGAAGUGGAAGCUGUGAAGAAAACCGUUGGUGUUCUACCUGUAAGCCCCCAGGAUGAAGACCUGGUGGUCACCUUCUCCCGUCGGCCAGACGUGCUUCCUCACGCCCGUUACGACUGUCCCAUACACCCUUUUAUGCCUACAGAUUGUGAGAGGACUGCUCCCAUGGCCAAUAAUCAACUUAUUUGUGAUCAGUGCUUCUGCUAUGUCUGCGACAAGCUGGCGUCACUGUGUGGGAUGUGGUGCUGCAGUGGAGAGUGUCACUGCAACAGCCACAACAAAAGUGACUUCUGGAACGGCGUUAGGAACACGGCUCUGCUGGGGGAACUGCAGAGGUUCAAUCUCACCCUGUCAGAAGUCGACCAUCGUCUUCGUAAUGCAGACGCGAUGUUGCAAAGCUUUAGAGGCAAACUGUCGGCUCUGUUUUCCUCCAUUACGUUGGAUCAGGCGAUGCUGCCAGAUUACAACAUGAGCCAGCAGGACCUGAGCUCCAGGUAUGGACCUGUGGUUGAGUGUGUGACCCAGUUCCUGAAUAAAGCCGACAAACAGAACAGUCGGGCUGCGGCCAUCAUGCAACUUGGAGCUGCUGAAGAGUUUAUGAGACAUUUUCAAGUGUUGGGGUUCAUGGGUUCAUCUUCAGCUGCUACAACCUCUGAGACUAUAAUAAUGUUACUGCACAGAGUAAUAUCAUCAGUACAGAGACGUAUAGUAAUGGGUGACAUUACGCCAUUGUUUAUGCAAAAACUGCAAGCAUUUUACCAGAACAGGAUACAAUUCCCAGCUGACAUGAGGCAACUAAAAAACAGUCUGACCAUCCGACCCUGGCAGGACGUCCUGCUGGUGUCGGUGCUGAAGGGGCAGAAUGUGUCGGGCUUCCGGAAGGACAAGGGCAAGAAGGACGUCCUGCUAGAAACCAUUUCUGUGGUCCUGCUGAGAACUGAACUGCUCCAGCUUCAGUCCAGGUACAGAGAGUUGUGUCGGUACCUGCGAGUCGUCCUGACCGAUAACGUCACACUGUAUCAGCACAUCCAAGACCUCAUUCCUUUCUUCAAGUGUAAGUUGGGAGAGUUUGGGUCGGCAUUGGAAAGCCUCUUUCCCCCAGUCAACCCCCCCGCCUCCCGCUUCACUCCGGCCAUUUUCCUCCUCUACCUCCGGAUAUUUGAGACGGCGACGGCACCGAGGCUGACGGUCAGCCAGCUGGAGCAGCUCUGCUUCUCUGAGGCAUCCUGGGAACCAAUUAAAGAUGCUGUGCCACUGAAGACGUCAGAGCUGGUGAAGUUUGCUCUCAAAGCCCAGAGAUGCUCCUUGUCGGUCUACUCAGAUCCUGAAUGUUGGGCCAGUUUACUGAAAGUGGUCUGCUCUCCUCAUGGCUCUCCGACUGCCCUGCCUGUACCCAGCCAACAGUUUCUACACGAGUCGCGGGAUGCCGUCAUAGACCAGCUCAACCAGCAGGGUUACAACAUACAGAUUUCCCGCUGCUUUCUCAGGACAUACCCAGAUCAGGCCUUGUUGCUGUUGGUAACAGGAGCCUUGGGUGUCAGAAUCCUUCAGGGUUCUUUUAGUCCAGCUCUGCCUGUUCUCAGUGCUUAUAAGGACAACCUGUGGGCCUUUCAGUGGCUGUGUGAUGGCAUGACGUCCAGUGAAGACCGUCUCCUCUCCUUCCUGAAGGAGAUCACACAGGAGUCGUCAAACACACCAGGUAUCAGGACAUGUUGUCCCUUUUCAAAUUCUGAGCUUGUGUUUUCACAGUGAGAGCUCAGAUCUGCUCGGCCUGCAGACUUGAAUCUUCCUGCUCUGAUCUGAACCUGCUUCUGUUUGUGAAUACAACCUGCACUCAGAUUUGUUCUGUCUCCUGGUGAACUCUUGUGAGCGCACCAAUAAGGGCAGCAACGUCACCAUCAUGGUCUUACUGUUACCAAGCUGAGUGGCCAUUUUUUCUGGGAGGGGGCAGAGAAAAAACACACCUGGGUGGUUCCAUCCCACGGUGAAUAUAAAGGCCAAAGUAAUGAAUUCCAACAGCAGAAGAGGCAUUAUUAUUUAUUGAAUUGAAUUGAAGUGUAUCAGGCAAUUCCACAGCCAAGCAGCUACAUCAACAGGUGUGAGGCAAAGUGCCUGAUGCAGCACAGUAACAUCAGAGCAGCGGGACUUGUUGGGGUCAGCCUGGCCUGGAGGAACCUGACUGACCUCAAUCAGUCCUGGAGAUCUUUGGGAUGAAUUCAAGUAGAGAUGGUGAGCACUUCUGGAAUAUUGGUCAGUUAUUCCCAGAAACAUUCCUAAACCUUGUGGAAAGGUUUAGGAAUGUCACUCAGGUUUUCUAUGUGUGAAGGCAGACCGGCCGACUUUCAGCUUUCUUGUUUUUAAGAAGGAGUAAAAUAAGGAGCCUUGCUCUCAAAGUGAAAUUUUUGUUUGGAAGAAAAAUAUUAUGCGUUAUUCAGCUGUACAGUUUAUAAAAAGGCAAAAAGAAGUGAAUCAGGUUCUGUUUCAGCCUGCUUGUGUUCUUUUCCCCAAUAAUCUCUUUUCUUUUUCUUUUAACUCUGCAGAAAAUCAGCUGGUCGUUGAUUUCAAGCCCUUCCACGUAAAGUUUCCUUCAGAGGUUCAGCUCUGAAGCUCUAAAGUCUCACCUGGAUGAUCUUGCCUGUGCUAAGCCCACUUCCGAAAAGGACUGUUUUGUUUUUUUUGUUUUUAUCUCAAUGUGAAGCCAUGUGGAACUUUUGUUGUAUUUCUUGCUUACUUUAAGCACCAUGACAGUAACGCUGAGCCAACAGUAAGAUUCUGCUGUCAUGUGCUUUACAUUUGAACCUCUGUCUGCGGCGCAGUGGAUGGUAGGAAUGUGCCUCAGGUGACACACAGGGAGAGAACUCUUUACUCUUUCACACUUUUGUUACCAUUUAUUAAACUAAACAAUUCCCUCAAUUCUCUUCAUGUAAUUUAAUGAAACGGGUUUUUGAUGCGCUGUACAAUAACACUGGUUUUAGAUUAUAACAUAUGAUGCUUUAUACCGUUUGAAAAUCAGUCAACUAUUUAAAAAACAAUUUAGACAAAGCUUAAAAUAUAACUUUAGAAAUUAACUUUAGAACAAACUAAUACUGAAAUUAAAAGUUCCAAUGCAGGUCUGACUUGCAGACAUGCACAGCAAAAAGAACAGUUCAGAUGGAAAAAUAAUUAUUUUCAUACUUUAUUUUCUCUCAUUAAUGUAUUCAUCCAUUUGACUGUUUGUUUUUUCUACUUUCAUAUUUAAAACCUUGCUCCACGGUGUACAGUUGUAUUAAAUCUACUUUAAAGAUCAACUAAAUAUUUGCUGAGUGCUGCUAAAGUGGACAUGAAUUCUGUUUCUGUUUCUGUCUAAUGAUUUUCUUUCAUGUUCAUAAGGACUCAUACUGCCAUCAGUGUUGAUUUCUGAGAUAAUCUGGUUUAAUAAAUGACUCCAGUGUUUGGC